rfam:Hordeum vulgare subsp. vulgare, WGS project CAJW01000000 data, contig: morex_contig_74367
UAAAUACUCCCUCCGUCCGGAAAUACUUGUCAUGGGAAUGGAUGUAUCUAGAUAUAUUUUAGUUCUAGAUACAUUCACUUUUAUCCAUUUUUUACGACAAGUAAUCCAGGACGGAGGGAGUAGGUA